rnacentral:sRNA from 1 species
AAGCACUGGGUCCCGAAAGGCAGCUGUCCUGCCCCAGCGCAGAUCCCCUGCAGCCUCCUUUCCUACUGCACAAAUCGACUAGCGCAGGAACCGGGCUCUCUACCCGGGACUGCACGGAGGAGCUAAAGAGAGAAAAGGAGAAACAACAUUCUGGACAACGAACUCCUCCGUCCGACAGGCGGAGGAAGAGGCCGAGCCGGGCGAGAGGGUUGAAGAUCAACUGGAUUAUGUAUUUGGUUCUGGAAUCUCAAAGCAGUCCACAAACAAAUUCUUCCUUAUGUUGUCUGUGUCAGAUUCGAAUAUUUGCCAAAUUUCUAUGAAGAACUGAUUCAAGAAUUGGGAAGGGUCUGAGAUUUUACCCCACUUGGAAGCUAACAAGUUAGUCUGCCACGGUGCCAUCGAUGUUGGCAGGACAUGAGAGUCAUGAAUCAAGGUCAAGAAUUGUUUAUGCUCAUAGCACUAGCUAGAGUACCAGGUGACACCUGUAUGUGCUGUUAUCAGAAUAGUCUUCUGGGUGUAAAUUAAAAAU